ACUUAACUCUUUCUUCGUGCCUAAUACAUGCAAGUCGAGCGAACGGACGAGAAGCUUGCUUCUCUGAUGUUAGCGGCGGACGGGUGAGUAACACGUGGAUAACCUACCUAUAAGACUGGGAUAACUUCGGGAAACCGGAGCUAAUACCGGAUGAUAUUUUGAACCGCAUGGUUCAAAAGUGAAAGACGGUCUUGCUGUCACUUAUAGAUGGAUCCGCGCUGCAUUAGCUAGUUGGUAAGGUAACGGCUUACCAAGGCAACGAUGCAUAGCCGACCUGAGAGGGUGAUCGGCCACACUGGAACUGAGACACGGUCCAGACUCCUACGGGAGGCAGCAGUAGGGAAUCUUCCGCAAUGGGCGAAAGCCUGACGGAGCAACGCCGCGUGAGUGAUGAAGGUCUUCGGAUCGUAAAACUCUGUUAUUAGGGAAGAACAUAUGUGUAAGUAACUGUGCACAUCUUGACGGUACCUAAUCAGAAAGCCACGGCUAACUACGUG
rnacentral:rRNA from 1 species